GUGAGUGCGGGUGGGGGGGCAGGGGAGACUGAGGAGAGGGAGGGGGGAGCGGCAUUGAGAGGGGAGUGCUGGAGCUGAGGACGGGCUGAGUGUGAUGGGAGCACAGGAGGGUUCUGGUGGAAGUGCUGGACCAGGCGUAGGGGUGUGGGGGAGGUCUGGGGCCCGGAGGGAGGACACCGCCAGCAUAAUUCAGGGGAGCGGCUCACAGGGAGUUUCUCGCAUAGGGGUUUGCUCAAGAACAUCAAGAGUCUCCGUGUACAAUGUUCUUACCAUCUCACAUGCAGCCAGGCCCAUGAAGCUUCUGCAAACCCACCGGGACAGCGCCCACUCCUAACGGACUAUAAGUGACAGCAGCUGUGCCAGACAGUGAGUACAGGUGGUUCCACAUGGAGGUGACAAACAGUCGCGACUCUGGUCCUUAGCAUCCCUCCGGGGCGGCUGCAGUACUGUUAGCGGCACCUGUGACUCUGUUGCCAAGAGGAGUCACGUGCGGUUCCACGUCCUGCUGCGGUGGUGGCAGACAGCUUACCUACGGUUUAUCCUCUUCGUUAAAAUCCACUAAAAUCGCAGCGCUUGCUGUACGCUCUGUGGGAUCUUGCUUUAUUUACUGCGCUAGUAAAGAAGCUCACACCUCAUGCCACCCCAACCACUCUGCUGCCGAAAUCAUAAGGGUUAUAUUUGGGCCUUUAAAAACAUGGCCCUGCCCCCCAUGGUGUCCUGGGACAGGGCACAGCUCCUGGACACAGUGUGCACGCACACAUGGCAAUCCAGCCAGCGGUGCCCUGGUGAGCUGUGCAUUGCCGCCCACGUGU
rnacentral:lncRNA from 12 species